GCUCGAGUGGCGAACGGGUGAGUAACACGUGAGUAACCUGCCCUUGACUUUGGGAUAGCUUCAGGAAACUGGGGCUAAUACCGGAUAGGAGCUCCUGCUGCAUGGUGGGGGUUGGAAAGUUUCGGCGGUUGGGGAUGGACUCGCGGCUUAUCAGCUUGUUGGUGGGGUAGUGGCUUACCAAGGCUUUGACGGGUAGCCGGCCUGAGAGGGUGACCGGCCACAUUGGGACUGAGAUACGGCCCAG
rnacentral:rRNA from 1 species